UGAAAUCUUUCUCAAGCCUCCUAACACAAUUCAGUACCUCCACCAACGUGUUGCUAAGUUUAUAUCAGUGAAUAGUUUAUAACCUUUAGCAAUGUAAUAAUUAAGGAUAGAUAUUAAUUAGACAACUCGGAACACCCGGAGCCAAGUGGGAGUCUGGAGAGAUCAAAGAAAAACUGGAAGCGCUGAAUCACAAUGGUGUGUGGGCCCGGAGAUGGAUUGGCGACCUGUCUAGGGUGUAUUCCUGCCUCUCGCCCACUGCAUGCUGAGAUAGGCUCGAGACACCCAUCGCCCCCCCCCCCCCCCUUCCCCCCAAUCCCUCACCCUGACCAGGAAUAAAGGGUUCAGAACAUGGAUAGAUGGAUGGAUGGAUGGAUAAUGAAUCACUUAAAUGAUGCAUCCGGUCAUGGUCAACUAUAUAUAACAGUUUACUGAAACUGUUGAAACCUGUGUGAUAAUAUGUUUACAGUGCAACCUUUUGAGUGCUGCUGGGUUGUAUAUAGAAAUAAUGUA